CCUACGGGAGGCAGCAGCAAGGAAUCUUGCGCAAUGGGCGAAAGCCUGACGCAGCAACGCCGCGUGGGGGAAGAAGGCCUUCGGGUUGUAAACCCCUUUUGCAGGGGAAGAUAGUGACGGUACCCUGCGAAUAAGCCACGGCUAACUACGUGCCAGCAGCCGCGGUAAUACGUAGGUGGCGAGCGUUGUCCGGAUUUACUUGGCGUAAAGCGCGUGUAGGCGGCUUGUUAAGUCCGGGGUGAAAUCUCCCGGCUCAACUGGGAGGGGUCCUCGGAUACUGGCAGGCUUGAGGGGAGCAGAGGAGAGUGGAAUUCCCGGUGUAGUGGUAAAAUGCGGAG
rnacentral:rRNA from 1 species